ensembl:lncRNA OTUD6B-AS1 OTUD6B antisense RNA 1 (head to head)
ACCGUGACCCUGCCGUGAUGGGCGGGGCGGCAGGGGAGGAACCAGACUGCGAGCGGAGAAGCGGAGUUUGCAGCCUCGGAAUUGGCUAGAGCGCCAGAGCCGAGUCAGCCAUAAAGCUACGCGCUAGGCUCUUGGCCCUGACGUGAGGCGCGCAGAGAUGGCGUAACGGGAAUAGUUUUCAACGUCUAUUUCAUUCCCUGCUUCAGAGGACCUCUUUAAUCUUUGAUUUUGGUCCCUGUUUCUAAGAAAAGCAACUGAAAAGGUCGUAAUACCGCCCCUGAGAAAAAAGGAGCAGCGCUAAAUAAUCGAGAAAAUGCCUCCUCUUGAAACGGAUAUAGAGAUGGAAACAAGAUAUAAGAAGGAUUGAGAAUCAUAUAAUACAGGAGCUUAAACACCUAUGCGCGAUGAUAAAGAGGGUACUAUUAGAGCGCUUGGAAAAUACCAGGAAGUUGAGAGAGUUAACAGAAGGGCGCACGCUGGAUUGGCCACAAAAUCGAAUUACUGAAGGCCACUACUGAUUAGGACACUUAUGGAGAACGUGGGUAGCACUGAAGCAGCAUUCUAGUUUCCAGUGCCAUCAACCUCAUACGUAUCUACCUGGUCUCUGAUCGAAGCUACCGUAAUGUGUUCUUGAGGUCAACAUGUUUUGUGGAAGUCACUGUAUUUGCCCCUUUAUGUCAAUUACCUAUUAUAAACCGAGAGAAAUGGGAAAAUUAAAAACCUGUUUUGAAUUAUUUUUAAUGCAGAACUAUUUUUUCAAGUGAAAUCUUAUACAGAAGUCUGGUAUAUGAAACAGAUAAAAAUGAACCAAUGAGAUUGAAGGGAAUGAGUAGCAUGUAAUCCUGCCCACUCUUCGGAGAAUUUGAGGCAACUUUGUAGAGCCUUAGGAGUUCAGUUUGUAUGUUACUGGGUAAUUUAAAGCAGAAAUUUUAAUCUGACUGCACUUAAGAAUCAUCUGAAGUGUUUGUAUUGGUUAGUCUUAUUUUUAAUACUGAUGUCCUGGUCUCUCUCCCCUCAAAAAAACUCUGCUGCUGGGACCAAGCACAUAGAUGCUUUUUAAAAAGCUCCCGAAAAUGACUCUAAUAUGCAGCCAGGAUUGAAAAUAACUACCCUACACAGCAUUUUUCCUGAUUCUGAGCACUCAGCUUUUCAUUGAUUUUCCCUAGGGCAAGUCCUUCAUCUUAUUCUGGGUCCUUGUGUUUUCUUUCUGAACCUACAAUUUCUCCAUAGGUCCCAUGGUUUUCAAAAUUUCUCAUUUUCCAUUUUCUGUCCUUUUAUAUUACCUACUUGAAAACCACAGUCAUCUUUCAAAACAAAACACUGCCUGUUUCUUAGGUCUUUAUUGUGGGCUUGUUAUUCCUCAAUACAAAUUUACAUAAAAUAAUAACAAUUAAGACAUGGGCCUUGGUGUCAGAAUUAUUUUAUAUCUUUCUUAUUAACUCUGCAGCUUACCAGCUCUGGAUAAGUUAAAGGACAGCUAUAGUCUUACUACAUAGAAUCAUUAUAAGGAAUUGGUGGAGUGAUCCUUAUAAAGUGUUUGCAUGGUACCUAGCACAGAGAAAGUGCUUGAAGUUGUUAACUGUUAUGGUUACAAAAUAUGUAAAUAAUUUUUAUUGUCCAAUUUUCUCUCUUCAUAUACACUAAAUUGUUCUAAUUCUUGAACCACAGUAACAACGUGUGAAUGACUUAUGCAUUCAGUGUGUCCACUCAACUACUAUUUAUUAAGUACCUGUUAUGGUCUAUGAAAGGAACUGGCAAGACAGUCAUUAUUCCCCUUAAAUAUUCCCAAGUGUUAGUGGUCAAAGUUUCUCUCUGCUGAAAAUGAAAAGUACCCCGUAGGAUGGAGGAAACAGCCAUCUUGAGGGCUAAAUCUGGUCUAACAUAAUAUUUGUUGACCUGUUACUACAGUGUUGCCACAUAUGCUUUGUUGGUUUUUUAAUUUAGCCCCCAAACAUUUUAAAAAUCAGAUCAUUUCAUGUUAAAAGAAAUCUAGACUUCUAGUUCUCUUGCAAAUGUGAGCUCUGACAAACAUUGAAAUUAUAGAGUAGCAGGGGUAGUGUGCCCUUUAUUUGGUGCAUGUCUUCUGCAGGUUCCCAAGUUCUGCUGUUCUCUGUUGUUGCCUCAUCACUGAGGCCAAAUGUCAGUUGCUGCUUACAUGCAUUUGAACAGUUGUUAUUUUUUAUAGUGAAAUUAAAGGUAAACUGUUUUGAUAUCCAUGUUUCUACCAAAGGUAAGAAAACACAAGCCAAAAAGACACAGAUUUCAAAAAAAAUAAGAGAAAGCAUAAUUCUUUAUGGAAGUGAAGAAUAGUCUUUUUAUCUAAGUAUGCCAAAAAAAGCAUGUAUAAAAAAAUACAAUUUAAGAUGCCAUUAUGAAAAAACUCCAAGUCAGUGUUUACUAACAUCUUUUCAGUUUUAGGAAGGAGGCAGGUUGUCUUGCAUCUCAUUGGAUCUCCGGUACUACCUAUUUCUUGAAAUACCAUAAGUGCUAAUAUAUACUUGCAAUAGAUAAACAUGAGGAGUAUUACAAAUACAAGAGAUAGCAGGAACUAUUUUAAUAUUAAGAGAUAUCAAAUAUGCACGCUAGGAUUAAUAAAUGAAAUAAUUAUUUUCCUUCUUCUACAAUAUUUACUUAAUCUGGAGGCAGAAAUACAUGUUGUCUCUCUUCCUGCUUCUCCAUCAAAAUCCCGACCAAGUAAUCAGGAUCUUUGAGAAUCACAAUAAGAAUUACAGCCUCAUGUUUGGAUUUUUUAAAUUUAAAUUUUAAAUUACUCCUUUCCACUGAUAUUUAUUGAGAAACUGCUAUGCUCCAGGUACUGCGAUAAACACUGGGCAAAUGUUGGAGAGCUAAAAAGGCAUAUUCCUCUUAUAAAGACAUUAUUUACUUGUAACAAACAAGUAAAUAAAUGUAUUAGUCAAUAUGUAAGUAAACAAAAAAAUGGACAAGCACAAAUUAUAUUAAGUACUAUGUAGGAAACCAAUAGAGUACUGUAACAGAAUAAUAAGGUAUAUGGGAUGGGGGUGGGAAUCUGUUCAGAGAUGAUCUACCUGAGAAGGUAACAUGUAGGCAGAGAUCUGAAUCGUGAGGAGUCAGCCUUUCAGAGUAAGUGGAGUAGGCACUUCCAAGAGAAAAGCAUAUUCCUGGCUAUUUGCCUAUCAAUGUCAUCUUGAACAAGGGUUAGCAAUCUCCUACCUGUACCACAGAUGCUAUGUGCCACCUCCAUGCUACCUUUGCCACCAAGAGAUUCAAUGUGAUGCAUGAUUUGAAGGUUCCUCAUCCUGAUACCCUGUGGAAAGUAAAAUCAGUGACAAAUAAAAGCAGAUCAUUAUCUCAGGUAGAGUCUGCUAAAGAUGAUACUUGCUUGUCAGUACAUGAGUAUCCACCCUAGUAAAAAACCACAGAAGAAGUGGGAUUUAUCUUCAAUGUUCUCUCACUUCCCCUUCCAAGUGCCUCUCCUGCCUUCUGAUGCUCUUUCCCACAAGUUGCAGGCAAAUAAAGCAUGUAUAUUACUCUCUUUUUAUCCAGAGUUGCUCCUUGUCCUUAUAUGAAGUAGAUUCCAGACCUCACAAUUGUAUAUGCCUACCCUUCUACUCCAACCCCUCAAAAAAAGAGGAAGAAUGAAAGAAUGAACAAGAGAAAAGGAAGGAAGAGAGGGAGAGAGGAAAGGAGGGAAGGAUGGUCCUGAAGAUCACAGUUCGGUGCUGAAAAAAGCAUUUCUAUUAAACUUCAAGACAGAAUGAAUGACCAUAGCUAAUAAUGUACCUUAAGCUUUUCUAGAAUCUUUGUAUUAAAAAAGUUGAUUGUUACUAAAUGUAUUUUAAUCUCAUAAAAUUUUAGGAAUUUAAAUGAAGAAUUUCACAAAGGGUAAGAAAAAUUAUAUAUUAUAUUUAUAAAUUUGUCAUUAUGAUUCUCCCAUUGUGGAAAAAAAAACAAAAUCUCGGUACCCCAAUUCACAAAGCCAAAAGGAAGAAAGUAAGCUGAACGCUGAGUCAUGCAAGAAACUGCUCGCUUUUGUUCCUAAGCUAAUAGCUACAGAUAAAAGGUCAGAUAUCUCCAUAGGUAGGUACUCUAUGUUCACCUUAUGUAAAGUGCCAAUUUAUUGAGCGUAAGAGGAUUACCUAAUUGACUAUUCCCCAGCCUGCUCCUUUUCUCUUGCAACACAUGGAGUCAGCAAUGGGACCAUAUCCUCUCUCUUUCCCCUCCAGCCUGCUUUCCCCCUUUAAAUACUGAAGCCCUCAAAAUCAUCUUUCUAAAAAGGUAUGAACCAUAGAUUGUUCCUGUGGAUUUGUGUUUCUUUCUUCCGGGCAUAUCCUUAAGCUUGGCAAAAUAAAAUUCUAAAUUGAUUGAGUCCUGUCUCGGAUGCUUUUUGGUUUACGCUAUCAAGGUUUGGAAGGCUUAAGACAUGUCAUUAAGGUACUUUAUUUCCUUCUAGCAUUUUGAUUAUACUGAAAUUGGGUAAUUAGUGGUGCCUGUUUUGAGUAACAUGGUGAGUAGAAUUAAGAAUGGAAAGCACUGGGAAAGGGAAAACAAAAACACAUCAAAGAUUUCCACCUUUACUUCCUUAGUUUUUUUAAAGAAAAAUUAAAUGUAUUAUCUAAUCACAAGCUACAAAUUAAAAUAUUUGAUUUACUUUUUCAGCAAAAGUUAUAAAUUAUCGAAUAGAAAUUGGGAAAAGAUAUGUCAUUUUUAACAGUGUUAAAAUCUUAGUUAUACUCAUUUGACUAGUUAGUACAGCUCUUAUUUACUUAUUCUACAGACAGGUACACUCUUUUAUCCUUGUAUAGAAGUUACUUUAAUUUUUUAGUAUUUAAGUUAUCCUUAAAAUACAACAUGAAGCUAUUUUACCAUAUAUAAUUUACUUAAAUAUUCUUAAAAUAACAUUACUUUUAAAUAAAAUAUGUAUGUGAAUUUAAGAAUUCCUUUCUCUAACUCCAG